rnacentral:rRNA from 1 species
UACAGAGGGGGCAAGCGUUGUUCGGAAUUACUGGGCGUAAAGGGCGCGUAGGCGGCCUGCUAAGUCGAACGUGAAAUCCCUGGGCUCAACCCAGGAACUGCGUCCGAUACUGGUUGGCUUGAAUCCGGGAGAGGGAUGUGGAAUUCCAGGUGUAGCGGUGAAAUGCGUAGAUAUCUGGAGGAACACCGGUGGCGGAGGCGACAUCCUGGACCGGUAUUGACGCUGAGGCGCGAAAGCCAGGGGGGCAAACGGG